rnacentral:rRNA from 1 species
AGAGUUUGAUCCUGGCUCAGAUUGAACGCUGGCGGUAUGCUUAACACAUGCAAGUCGAACGGUAACAGCAAGAGCUUGCUCUUGGCUGACGAGUGGCGGACGGGUGAGUAACGCGUGGGAAUCUGCCUUAUAGUGGGGGAUAGCCCGGAGAAAUCCGGAUUAAUACCGCAUAAGCCCUACGGGGGAAAGUUGGGGAUCUUCGGACCUGACGCUAUUAGAUGAGCCCGCGUUAGAUUAGCUUGUUGGUGGGGUAAUGGCCUACCAAGGCAACGAUCUAUAGCUGGUCUGAGAGGACGAUCAGCCACACUGGGACUGAGACACGGCCCAGACUCCUACGGGAGGCAGCAGUGGGGAAUAUUGCACAAUGGGCGCAAGCCUGAUGCAGCCAAUACCGCGUGUGUGAAGAAGGCCUGCGGGUUGUAAAGCACUUUCAAUCGUGAAGAAAAGCCAGGGGUUAAUAACCUCGGUCUUGACAUUAGCGAUACAAGAAGUCCCGCUAACU